rnacentral:rRNA from 1 species
CGCGUAGGCGGGAUUGCAAGUCAGAUGUGAAAUGUCGGGGCUUAACCCUGGAACUGCAUUUGAAACUGUAAUUCUUGAGUAUCGGAGAGGCAGGCGGAAUUCCUAGUGUAGCGGUGAAAUGCGUAGAUAUUAGGAGGAACACCAGUGGCGAAGGCGGCCUGCUGGACGACAACUGACGCUGAGGCGCGAAAGCGUGGGGAGCAAACAG